CAAUAGGGUCCGCUAGCAGAGACUUCUGCCCUCCUGGGACCUGGCAGACUUCCCGGAGGCAGAGCAGGCUCCUGAUUGCAGGAUUAGGGCAUUAGAUGGUUUUUUUUUUUUUAAAAAAAAAAAAUGGGCCCAGACCUCGAGGCCUGAAUAAUGAUGUGGUGACAUUAUUGGCUGGGUGACAGUAGAUGCCAACUGAAGUGGACACAGAAGAAAGAAUUCUUUAUAUUUAAUUGGAAAUGCUUGCACUGUGUGGAGCCAGAUAUUUAAAGCUCUCUUUUUUCUCCCCUUUUCAGUAAGUUUUGUGGGGAACUAGUGAUUUCAUAACCGCAGGAAUUAAAAGUCAUGAACAUCAAGUAUUUAUGCAGUUUGUGGAAGAGACUUCUGUAUGCAGCGUUGGAGACCGCUAAAGUUACCCCAGCACAGGUUUCAAUGACAUUUGCAGCAAAAUUAGUCUUAUGCCAAAACGCUGUAACGCACCUGGUGCCUGCUACUAGAGAUGAUCUUGAGCCUUAAAUAAUUUAAAAAAAAAAAAAAGUUAUUUUCUUUAAAGGCAACCUGCAUAUUUUUAUAAAGUGAAGCAAGUAUCCUGAACACCUAAAUUAGACUAAGGUCUUCAGAGCAUUGCCUGAAGAGGUCAUCAUACAUACAGUUCCUAGUAAUACGGUGCUUUAAUCAUGACAGGGGCCUCAACAGGCUACUACAAUACAAAUAAUGUAGCAGUUAAGAGACUUUCAAGCUUGUUUCAAGGCAUAUUUUAGAUCUUUCAGUUUAGUUGGAGCUGAAAAGGAUUGUGUCUAGUGAUGUACCAGUGUGCCCCAAAUGUAAAGGAAAUGACAAGAUACAAUUAAAGCAAGUAAAA